rnacentral:rRNA from 1 species
AUUGAACGCUGGCGGCGUGCCUAACACAUGCAAGUCGAGCGGUAACAGGUGUAGCAAUACAUGCUGACGAGCGGCGAACGGGUGAGUAAUGCUUCGGAAUCUACCCAAUGGUGGGGAUAACCAGCCGAAAGGUUGGCUAAUACCGCAUACGUCCCACGGGAGAAAGCAGGGGAUCGCAAGACCUUGCGCCAAUGGAUGAGCCGAAGUCGGAUUAGCUAGNGGUAGGGUAACGGCCUACCAAGGCGACGAUCCGUAGCUGGUCUGAGAGGACGACCAGCCAUACUGGGACUGAGACACGGCCCAGACUCCUACGGGAGGCAGCAGUGGGGAAUAUUGGACAAUGGGGGAAACCCUAAUCCAGCGACGCCGCGUGUGUGAAGAAGG